UGGAAAUGGUUUUAGCAGAUGCAGCUA
rnacentral:piRNA from 1 species